CUGUACAAAAGAAGAGGACUCUUGAAGCAUUCUAAUUUGCAUUUCAUACAAUCCUCCUAAAUUAACCACUGAUCUUCACUUCAUUCACGCCCUUCCCCGAAACCCAACAAUUCUAAUGGAUUCCCAUCCUCCAUCCGACGAACAUACCUCCUCUCCAAAAUCCCCACCAAAUCCUCCCACCACCACCACCACCACCACCUGCUGCAUCAACUGCGGCAGUCCCACCAGCUACUCCCCACCACCCUCCUGGUCCGACUCCUCCCCUCCUCCCUCCUACCUCCCCAUCCGCGCCCCGGCCCUCAACCUCCCUCCGAACCACACCCCCCAACAAUCCAUCAUCCUGGCCCCCGUCCCUCAACCCCUCCAAGUCCCCACUCUCUCUCCUCCUCCCUACCAUUUCCAAAUCCCCACCAAGCGCAUCCUCUCCCCUUCCGACCUCCGCCACUUCCACGACUCCCAUUCCGGCAAACACUUCCUCGGCUUCAUCGCUGCCCUCAGCCACUCCAUCCGCCGCCGCAAGAUCUCCGACCCCUGCCACCUCUCCCCCACCAUCUCCUCCAUCGUCUCUAUCCUCCAAACCCUAAUCCUCUUCGUCGAUGAUAUCCCCCCCCUCGCUCAAUCAUCUCGCUACGGAAACUACUCCUAUCGAACUUGGCAUUCUCGUAUGACGGAAAACGCUGAAUCCUUCAUGCUUGGUUUUCUUCCCCAGGAUCUUCAAUCUGCUACUAUCGAGAUCGUCCCUUACUUCACCGAUAGUUUUGGGAAUUCCAGCCGGAUCGAUUAUGGUACUGGCCACGAAACCAAUUUCGCUGCCUGGUUGUAUUGUCUCGCUUUGUUAGGGUUGAUCAAGGAAGAGGAUUAUCAAGCUGUUGUUGCUAGGGUUUUUGUGAAAUACCUUGAAUUGAUGAGGAAAUUGCAGUUGGUUUAUUGCCUUGAGCCUGCGGGGUCUCAUGGUGUUUGGGGUUUGGAUGAUUAUCACUUCUUGCCGUUUAUUUUCGGGUCAGCGCAGUUGAUUGAUCAUAAGUAUAUGAAACCUAAGUCGAUUCAUAAUGAUGACAUACUCGACAAUUUCUCGAAUGAGUACCUUUAUCUUUCGUGCAUUGCGUUUGUGAAGAAGGUGAAGAAGGGUGUGUUUGCGGAGCAUUCGCCGAUGUUGGAUGAUAUCAGCGGCGUGCCCAAUUGGAACAAGGUGAAUGGUGGUAUGCUUAAGAUGUACAAAGCGGAAGUGUUGGAGAAGGUUCCUAUCAUGCAGCAUUUCCUGUUUGGCUGGCUCAUCAAAUGGGUUCUAAGUCUCCUCUGAAAUCGCUCCACAACCCUAUCCUAACCUGCCUUGGCCUCAAACGACGAUCUCAAAGGUAGUUUGGUCAUUGGUGUAUCAGCUUUGUUUGCACAUGGUGUGGAAACAAAUUGAAGGCAUUUUGCUUCCCGGAAUUGUAAUGAUAUAUACUUGAGUGGAAAAGUAUUGCAGAGAAAAUGUAUACUGUUGGUCGUAUGUGUUCUCAUCAAGUUUUCUAUCUUUUCUAGUCUACAGCUAAUUCUUCUUUGGCUUUGGAGGGAAUUUUUUGAUAACUAUUUUUUUUGUCUUUCUUUUUUUUUUUUUUUUACUUAU